rnacentral:rRNA from 1 species
GAGUUUGAUCGUGGCUCAGGAUGAACGCUGGCGGCGUGCUUAACACAUGCAAGUCGAACGGAGAGCUAUUGACGGAGUUUUCGGACAACUGAAAUAGUUUCUUAGUGGCGGACGGGUGAGUAACGCGUGAGGAACCUGCCUUGGAGAGGGGAAUAACACAGAGAAAUUUGUGCUAAUACCGCAUAAUGCAGUUGGGUCGCAUGGCUCUGACUGCCAAAGAUUUUAUCGCUCUGAGAUGGCCUCGCGUCUGAUUAGGUAGUUGGCGGGUAACGGCCCACCAAGCCGACGAUCAGUAGCCGGACUGAGAGGUUGACCGGCCACAUUGGGACUGAGACACGGCCCAGACUCCUACGGGAGCAGCAGUGGGGAAUAUUGGGCAAUGGGCGCAAGCCUGACCC